GAGGAAAGUCCGGGCUCUAUUUGUAAAUAAUUUGUUGUAUAGUAUACAAUGUAGGAAACUAUGAGGAAAGUGCCACAGAAAUAUACCGCCUUAUUUAAGGUAAGGGUGCAAUGGUUCGUUAAGAGCGCACCAGGAAUAUUGUCAAUAUAUUUGCUAGGUAAACCCCGUUUUAGAGCAAAGUGAUUGGUUUAAAUAAAUGUAUGAUAUAUUUAUAAGCUUCAUUUAUGUAGCAUUCUAUCUUAAAUAAUUUAUGAUACUGCAUCAAGUAAAAGUUUUACUUCAGAUUAAUAAUUACCCUUGCUAUAUUUUGCAUUACUUUAUGUUGAUUUGGAUCAAGAACAAAACCCGGCUUAU
rnacentral:RNase_P_RNA from 1 species